rnacentral:rRNA from 1 species
CUUGACCUCAAAUCAGGUAGGACUACCCGCUGAACUUAAGCAUAUCAAUAAGCGGAGGAAAAGAAACUAACAAGGAUUCCCCUAGUAACUGCGAGUGAAGCGGGAAAAGCUCAAAUUUAAAAUCUGGCGGUCUUUGGCCGUCCGAGUUGUAAUCUAGAGAAGUAAUGCCCGUGCUGGACCGUGUAUAAGUCUCCUGGGAUGGGGCGUCAUAGAGGGUGAGAAUCCCGUCUUUGACACGGACUACCAGUGCAUUGUGGUAUGCUCUCAAAGAGUCGAGUUGUUUGGGAAUGCAGCUCAAAAUGGGUGGUAAAUUCCAUCUAAAGCUAAAUAUUGGCGAGAGACCGAUAGCGAACAAGUACCGUGAGGGAAAGAUGAAAAGAACUUUGGAAAGAGAGUUAAACAGUACGUGAAAUUGCUGAAAGGGAAACGCUUGAAGUCAGUCGCGUUGGCCAGGGAUCAGCCUUGCUUUUGCAUGGUGUACUUUCUGGUUGACGGGUCAGCAUCAAUUUUGACCGCUGGAAAAGGG